AACAAACGCUGGCGGCGUGCCUAACACAUGCAAGUCGUACGAGAAAGGGUCCUUCGGGGCCUGAGUAAAGUGGCGCACGGGUGAGUAACGCGUGGAUAAUCCGCCCUUCAGUUGGGAAUAACUCAUCGAAAGGUGGGCUAAUACCGAAUAAUGCUGUGAGACCUCGGUUGAUCAGCCAAAGAGAGCCUCUGCUUGCAAGCCCUCGCUGAAGGAUGAGUCCGCGUACCAUUAGCUAGUUGGUAGGGUAAUGGCCUACCAAGGCGACGAUGGUUAGCUGGUCUGAGAGGAUGAUCAGCCACACUGGAACUGGGACACGGUCCAGACUCCUACGGGAGGCAGCAGUGAGGAAUCUUGCGCAAUGGGGGCAACCCUGACGCAGCAACGCCGCGUGAGUGAGGAAGGUCUUCGGAUCGUAAAGCUCUGUCGGAUGGAAAGAACCGCAUAGGGGUAAACAGCCCCUGUGUCUGACGGUACCAUCAAAGGAAGCACCGGCUAACUCCGUGCCAGCAGCCGCCGUAAUAC
rnacentral:rRNA from 1 species